ensembl:lncRNA
GUGAAUAACGAUGAAAGAAAGCAGGCAUCGAGCCUCAUGGAAGGUGGGGUCCAGCCCGGCUGAACGUCCUGUGAGCUCUUGUCUCUUAUUUUGGGCUCCUGGAGUGUAUGCAGGUUGGGGAACUCAGAGGGUACUUUCCACAGAUAAACCCCACCCACCCCCAGCAGGGGUGUGAAUUGCAGGAAAUGAAGAAAGUUCUCUCGGCCGUUUAAAAAUAGAUAAGCAAAAAAGGAGGAGAAGGAGAAAAGGAGAGAAGGAAGAGGAGAAGGAGAAAAAGAGAGAAAAGGGCACAAGGCAUAUGGGAUCUUAACUGCCCAGCCAGGGACUGAACCCUCAUCUCUUGCUCUGGAAGACAAAGUCCUAAUCACUGUUCCGCCAGGGAAGUCCCUACUACUUCGUUUGCAUAAAAGCAGAAAUACUAUAGCUUCUUCUGGAAGCCAAGGAGGAGCCGGAAAAUUACCUCCAAUCACGAUUCGGAAGCACAACCUCAGGCCUGAAGGCCAGAUGCGGGAUCUCCAGAGGCCAGCGCUGACCCCAGGAUGGCAGGGAAGCUGGGUCCGGCUAAUGAUGAUGAAAGAUACGUGGAAAAGGCAAUCAGGCACGAAGCCAGGAUUUAGGUCGUCCAUUCGCGUCGAUCAGCCCUGUGCAGCGACUUCCUCACCUCUUAGAGGAGCCUCCCAGACUGGGCCUGGAAAUCAUCUCGUGAAGUGCAGCAUGUCACGUCACGGGAAUUGUGGACAGCUGCAAGAUGAACUGCAGCAGGACUGAGAUACUGCUGGAAUGCUCCUGUUCAUUUGCUGCAAUAAUUGUACAAAUGGUGCUGCCUCCCUUUUUCUAGCAUGUUUUCUUUUAGCAAUUCCAGAUAGGGCUGUGUUUCUAAAAAUUAAUCCUGUUUGGGCCACCAGAGAUCAAGCCUAUCAAACUGACUUUAGCGAGUGAUCAGUAUAUAAAGCCUACUUGAGACGUGAGUGUUGGAACUGUGCUGUGGGGUAGGCUUUAAACAUGGGCCCAGAAGGGCUUCCCAGAUGGCAUUAGUGGUAAAGAAUCCACCUGCCAGUGCAGGAAAUGCAAGAGAUCUGGGUUCAAUCUCUGGGUUGGGAAAAUCCCCUGGAGGAAGAAAUGGCAACCCCCUCCAGUAUUUUUGCCUGGAGAAUCCCAUGGAUAGAGAAGCCUGGCGGGCUACAGUCCAUGGAGUCACAGAGAGUCGGACACAACUGUGCAAACGAGUCAGAAGGGAAUCGAGGUAUUAAGUGUGAGCUCAAAAGCAGGUCCCAGUCUGUGCUGAAUAGAAGGCAGUUGUUCCAGCUUCCCUCCUGGCCCCAAAGAACAUC